GGGAUCCGGCUUUGGGACGCAGCUCGAGGUGACAGACCGCUGCCACAGGCUCGUGUGCACAAGUGGCGCUGCGCGGACACUUUGGGGGUUAGGUGUGCAUGGGCCGCCGGGGUGCGUUUCCUGCACGUGGCUCCUCGCCGCCCUCCCUCCUCCACCAGCAAGGAGAGCAGAGGGCCAGGAGCUCUAGGAAGAUGCGUGCGGUUCCCUGGUCCUGGCAGGCAGGACAGCAGCGUGAUGGUCGCGCGCGCCACCUGCCAGGGCGGGUCACUGGCAGAUCCCCUACGCGCUUGUUCUGGAUGACUGGACCAGGAGAUGCGUACCUCUGCGGGCGCAGCUGUGAUCCCAGAGAGUUAACUAAGGUGUCUUGAGGACCUAAGCGCGUGGCAUGACUGGCUGGAGCACACCCUGCGUUCCCAGGAGGUUCACAGAUCUCUAUUGGAGCCGCUGCUGAAGAUGCGGGAAUAGACCAGAGAAAAUCCCGAAAUGGUGAGUCUGCAGAUCUGGCAAAGAAGAGUUCGUGGAAGACUUCAAGGUUUACACUCCUGGAGUAUGCCUUGGCCAUGUC
ensembl:processed_transcript Kaplan integration site 2